GGGGAAUUUUGGACAAUGGGGGCAACCCUGAUCCAGCCAUGCCGCGUGAGUGAAGAAGGCCUUCGGGUUGUAAAGCUCUUUCGGACGGAAAGAAAUCGCCGCCUCUAACAUAGGCGGUGGAUGACGGUACCGUAAGAAGAAGCACCGGCUAACUACGUGCCAGCAGCCGCGGUAAUACGUAGGGUGCGAGCGUUAAUCGGAAUUACUGGGCGUAAAGCGUGCGCAGGCGGUUUGGUAAGACAGGUGUGAAAUCCCCGGGCUUAACCUGGGACUGGGGUUGGGGCCUGCAGGGUUGGGGAACGGCGGGGGGGGGGGGAAUUCAACGUGAGGCGGUGAAUGGCGUGAGGAGGUGAGGGAACACGGAUGGGGAGGGCGGCCCCUGGGCCUGUACUGACGCUCAUGCACGAAAGCGUGGGGAGCAAACA
rnacentral:rRNA from 1 species